ACAUGCAAGUCGGACGGUAACAUGAGGUGCUUGCACUUUGAUGACGAGUGGCGCACGGGUGCGUAACGCGUAUAGAACCUACCCUGUACAGGGGGAUAGCCCAGAGAAAUUUGGAUUAAUACCCCGUGGUAACUAUAAAUGGCAUCAUUUAUAGUUUAAAGUUUUCGGACGGUACAGGAUGGCUAUGCGUCCUAUUAGUUAGAUGGUGAGGUAACGGCUCACCAUGGCAUCGAUAGGUAGGGGCCCUGAGAGGGGGAUCCCCCACACUGGUACUGAGACACGGACCAGACUCCUACGGGAGGCAGCAGUGAGGAAUAUUGGACAAUGGGCGUAAGCCUGAUCCAGCCAUGCCGCGUGCAGGAAGACGGCCCUAUGGGUUGUAAACUGCUUUUAUACGGGAAGAAUAAGGGACACGAGUGUCCUGGUGACGGUACCGUAAGAAUAAGGACCGGCUAACUCCGUGCCAGCAGCCGCGGUAAUACGGAGAGUCCGAGCGUUAUCCGGAAUUAUUGGGUUUAAAGGGUCCGCAGGCGGGCAAUUAAGUCAGGGGUGAAAUGGUACGGCUCAACCGUAGCACUGCCCUUGAUACUGGUUGUCUUGAGUCAUAGUGAAGUGGCCGGAAUAUGUAGUGUAGCGGUGAAAUGCAUAGAUAUUACAUAGAACACCGAUUGCGAAGGCAGGUCACUAACUAUCGACUGACGCUGAUGGACGAAAGCGUGGGGAGCGAACGGGAUUAGAUACCCCGGUAGUCCACGCCGUAAACGAUGGAUACUAGCUGUCCGCUGCCUUGAGCAGUGGGCGGCCCAGCGAAAGUGAUAAGUAUCCCACCUGGGGAGUACGUUCGCAAGAAUGAAACUCAAAGGAAUUGACGGGGGCCCGCACAAGCGGUGGAACAUGUGGUUUAAUUCCAUGAUACGCGAGGAACCUUACCAGGGCUUAAAUGC
rnacentral:rRNA from 1 species